UACGGAGGGUGCAAGCGUUAUCCGGAUUCACUGGGUUUUAAGGGUGCGUAGGUGGGCAAGUAAGUCAGUGGUGAAAUCUCCGGGCUUAACUCGGAAACUGCCGUUGAUACUAUCAGUCUUGAAUAUUGUGGAGGUAAGCGGAAUAUGUCAUGUAGCGGUGAAAUGCUUAGAUAUCGAGAGGAACACCUGCGGCGAAGGCGGGUAGCUGGGCCGACACUGACGCUGAGGCGCGAAAGCCAGGGGAGCGAACGGG
rnacentral:rRNA from 1 species